UGCCCCACCUGCAGCGUCACCUGGCUCUUGGAGCCCUUGGCUGUCAGCCCUCAGCCUCCUCCCAGACACUGCAGCAGCUGGGAUUGGGGUGCCUGACUGUCCUCCCCCACUGUCCUGCCUGCCUCAAGUCGGUCUCCCCCAUCACUUUCUGCCCACCGUGCUGUCCAAGCCAACUGGAAGCAGAGUCUCUGGAAAGCCAUGCAGAGCCUUGGGGACUGGCUGGCUCCCUCUGCUGGGACUCUGCUGACCAGUCCCAGUUUCAGACUCUACUAUUUGAGCCAUUUUCACUCUGGCUGGAACUGGCCUCCUAGGAACCGGCUCUUUAACCCCCAAGACAAAGCCACCGCCAAAGCAGGAGCUGCCAAUGGGACACACUCGUCCAGAGACCAGUGA
rnacentral:lncRNA from 1 species